CAAAGCCCAACCUAGCCUAGAACCUAACCCGACCCAAUUCAUCUCCUGGAGAAACUAAACAACGCCGCUUUGCCAGCCCAUUAUCUGAACUGUUGAUCUCGUUCAUCCAACGGCCAAGGAACACUCCCCCCUUUUUAAUAUAACUGUCCUAAAUCCAUAAAAACCUCGUAUCUCUAUACUUCGUCUCCCUCUUCAAGAACCCUAACCCGCCGCCCUCUUUCCUCACUAUUUUGACCCCAGCGGCGACGCCAUAGACCACUCCAAACACUACCAAAUUAACAUCCUAAAAUCCUCACACUUCCCUCAUAUUGAAUCCACAAAUAUUUUCCCUCGAAUCCCCCCCAGAACCCUUCGAAUCUCAAUUUGAAGUUUGAACCCUAAAAAUCCCAACUCUCCAAUUCGGGUUCUUAUUGAAGAUUUUAGGUCCACCCCGAGUUUAUUCAUGUGUUUUGGUAAACAAAAUACACAAUUAAUAUCGGAUUGAGCUGAAAUUGAAAGAGUUCGAAGCGUCAGCCUUAUCUCUCAUUUGUCUGAGGUUUUAGGUAUUUUCCCGUUUCUUUUGUUGUCUUUUCCCGUUUUCCUCUCAUUUUUCCGUAUUCUGCAUCUAUCACUUCUCCUGGUUUCUUUUUCCCUUUUUUCAGUUUUCCAAAUUUUUUUGUUCAUGCAUGAUUAGUCCUACAUCUUUUUUAAUAAGUGCCAUUAACUCGAUAAUUAACUUAGUUUACUAAUUUAGUUAAUUCUAGUUAAUAAAUUAUUUAGUUUAGAUUUUAGUUGCUGAAAUGUUUGCAUUCUUGUGAUAUUUCAGACUUUAAUUGGGUUAAUUGUUUGUUUGGAUUUUGGGAUUUCUUACCCAUUUAGAAAAUAAGGGCAUCCUGUUCACCUUGUUAACCCAUUGGAGGCCCUUUAGGGGUAAUAACAGGGUCAUAGGGGGUAAUUCUCAUAGUUCUGAAGGGUAGUCUAGGUAAUUGAAAAAAGGAAAUCUUUUAUAACUAUCUAGGGAAGCUUCUAGAAAGCAGGGAUUGGGAAUUAAAUGGAACAUCUGAUUUUAACUUAAGGACUCCUAAGCAAAAAAGAAAAUUCAAAAAGAGUUCAAAUGCAAAUUUGAACUCUUUGAGGCUGCCUAGUGACUUGCCUAUAAAGGCACAUUACGUUGGCUUUCAAGUCAGACAAAAAAAAAGAGAGAAAAUCCAGAAAUACUGAUACGGCUGCAUAUUUAGGAGAAAACACUGAUUUCUUUGCAUUUUCUUGGUAAAAAUCACUAAAGAUACUGUGUAGUGCUGAGUUCCUGAUCUUUUUCACUAGUUUAAAUCUCUGAAAGUUUGAAUUCUGCACUCGAUUGAAUAUGAAUUUAUUUUGGGGUUUGAAAGCUGGGUUUUGAGCUGCUAAAAGUUUUUCUACUGUUUCAUUGGUUUGUUGGGUUCUAUUUGUUGUUGUUGUUUAUUGAAUCCCCAUUGUUUGUGCUUUCCUCUUACAUCAGGUACACGAUCCUGUAACUAUUUGCUUAUGAAGUCUUGAUACAAAGAAUGAGUUAAGAAGCAGAAGUUUGAUGCACCUCACUAGUUAUUUUGCUGAUUAAUUCAUGUGUUUUUUUUUGAAUUUCCUAUUUUACUUGAUGGGUUAUGAUGUUUAAUGGAAUUUUAGCUUGAAUAAGUGGGUUUCGUUGUAUUUAAUUUAGGACUGCCAUGAAACCGGGGUAACAAAUCGUUUGAUUGAAUCAUAUGGUUCGUAUUUUAUGGAAUUAAAUUUGUAACGUGGUUUGCAUGAAACACUCUUUCUGUUAUACAAUUUCAUUCACAUUUGCUGUCAAUUGGUGGUUUUGGAUACUACAGUACUAUGAGAUAGGAUUUAAGUUAUUUCAAAGGAUAAAGUAUGGGUUGGUUGGUUUUGGGAUGGCAUGUGAAUAUAACUAAACCUGGAGUUGAAUUUCAGAAUGUUUUGUUUUUACCUAGGACUUAUUUAAUUUUAAGAUGCCAAAUUGAAAAGUCAAGUACAAUAACGUAUUUCAUAUUUUCUGAUUGGGUUUGUUUUCUAAAUGGUCAAAUAUCAUGAUGUGGUUUUGGACGUUGGGCUUAGUGCUGGCCCAAAUGUUAAAAACUCACUUCAAGUGCCCAUGCCACGCCAUGGAUGUUGUGGUCUCUAGCCAAAUUUGGGCUCGUUUGAGUUUGAGCCUGAAGGUGUUUCUGUUCUACCAUUUGUUGUCGUUUCACUUCAUCAAAUGCAAUUCUCACU
rnacentral:lncRNA from 1 species